CUUUCACUGGGCCAAGAGGAUUAAGGGUGGCAGAAAGUUCUGAUAACUCCACAUCUCCAGGUUCUGCAGAAACAGUGGUGAGCAACGCAGACAAGAUAUCUGUUGCUUUAGAGCUGUCAUUGUGGUUUGGGAAGUCAGACAAGAAAUGAUUUUAUAGGUUGUUGAAUAGGACUUUUCCUCUGCUCUUGGAAUAUCUGCUGAAGCCACAAAGAUAGAACAAUGAGGGCUAAAUAUUCUUGCAUUCUGAAGAGAAGUACUAGACACCUUACUAAAGGCAGAACAGGUUCAACAGCAAUCAAACUACAUCCCUCAAUUCCAGUCUACAAAUGAAAGGGAUUGAAGAAAGUCACUGAAGCAUAACACUGCUGCAUUUGUGGGCAGGGCUGAGAUUUCCCCUGAGGGAACUCCCCAACUCAAACCAAAUGAAGGGAGCUCCCAGAGAGAACCAGUCAUCUGCAAGAAGAGGAGGCUCUGUCCCUAUAACUGUCCCCCCACUGAUGCUGACUAUGUUGCUGGAUGUUACAGGCACCUCGGUGCAUUAAACUACAGCAAGACAGUUCAUGGGAGAACCCAACAUAUGUCUUUAGGAAUUGAGGACGUACAUAAAUGAAGAGACUUGUGUGCACUUCCUGUCUGGAGAAUUCUGAUCGUGGAGCCUCGCUGGAGUGGCCUGUGUGGCAAGGUGAGAAGUGGGCAGGGUGA
rnacentral:lncRNA from 1 species